rnacentral:rRNA from 1 species
CCAGCCGUAAAAAGGCAGCAUCAAACAUUAACUGCCCGCCCGACUAGUACGAGCGAAAGCUUAAAACUCAAAGGACCUGACGGUGGCCCACAUCCUCCUAGAGGAGCCUGUUUCAUAAUCGAUAACCCACGCUUAACCUCACCACCUCUAGCCAAUCAGCCUAUCUACCGCCGUCGUCAGCCCACCCUGUGAAGGCACCAAAGUGAGCACAAUAGUUCGUACACUAAAACGACAGGUCAAAGCGUAGCACAUGGGGUGGAGAAAAAUGGGCUACAUUUUCUACAAAGAACACACGGAAGGACGAAAUGAAAACAACGCCUGAAGGCGGAUUUAGUAGUAAGACCGGAUAAAAUACCCAUCUGAACAAAUGCACUGGGACGCGUACACACCGCCCGUCACCCCCAUCCUAACAAAAACACUUCACUUUCUAAACUGAAAACCAACUAAAGAUGGGGUAAGU